UACGAAGGGGGCUAGCGUUGCUCGGAAUCACUGGGCGUAAAGCGCACGUAGGCGGAUUGCUAAGUCAGGGGUGAAAUCCUGGAGCUCAACUCCAGAACUGCCUUUGAUACUGGCGACCUUGAGUCCGGGAGAGGUGAGUGGAACUGCGAGUGUAGAGGUGAAAUUCGUAGAUAUUCGCAAGAACACCAGUGGCGAAGGCGGCUCACUGGCCCGGUACUGACGCUGAGGUGCGAAAGCGUGGGGAGCAAACAGGAUAGAUACCCCAGACGUC
rnacentral:rRNA from 1 species